rnacentral:lncRNA from 1 species
UUUUGGUUUGAAAAAUUAGAUGUCUCAGAUUAUUUUGUUGUUGGAAAAUUUCCCAGAGUAGCUCAGCGCCUGAACUGAUUCCUCCUUGCAAUAGAAGCAGGACUGGACUAAUCUGCUGUCAGUUAAAAAACAAAAAAAAAAAAUGCAUGACACAAAAUAAAUAAAGAAAAACCAAAACAACAACAAGAACAACAACAAAAAACCCCAAACAAAAGGAUAUCCAAAUAGCCUCAGUAAAGGCAAAAGGGACUCUGACAUAUUUUAAACCAAAACAAAAAUCUAUGAUAAACCCCCAAAGGAAUCUCUUCUUCAACUCCUGCUUCUGUGUGAGCAAAUGUUUGUUUUUAUUAAAAUUGGCUUAGAAAAAAUGUCAUAAUAAAUAUGUGUAAUCAUAUUGGACAGAGAGCUAUUAUUCUCAAUCUGGAAAGCACACUCUCAUGAGUUCUAAAAUAAUCUGCAUUCAAAUGAGAUGUGUACAUGAAAAUACAAGGAAAUAGCUUGCAUAUAUACAAAAUUAGAAAAGGAAACCCAGAUUUGCAAAGUAUAGGCAAUCAAAAUUAAGGAGCAUGUAACAAUGCUUUUAGAUUUAAAUUUUACUUAUCACUGGGUAUUAAAAUUGUUCAAACCUUUGAAGAAAAUUUUCCAUAAAAGUUUCAAUUAUUCUUGUUUUGAUUGCUAUUGUAGUUAAACUCUAUAUUGUUUGGGGCAAAGGAAUAUCUAAUUUUUCAUGUUGGGAUAUUAAUAGGGACCUAUAAGAUAUAUUUGAAAUGCCCUAGUUUAUUGUUUCCUUCCUCAUUUUUUGUCAGAAAUUAAGCUCAAAUUUUUUUCUUUUUGAUCCAUCCAGGAAAGAGAGAAGGAAAAAUAUCACUCCAGUCAGAAUGAGCACAGUGAACUGAAGUUAAAUACAGUAUAUUUUAUUUUGUGUCUCCCAUUUUCUUAUGUUACAACUUCAUUGAAAGAGAUGUGCAUGCAUGCUAAGUCCCUUCAGUCAUGCCUGAUUUUUUGUGACUCUGUGGACUGUAGUCAGCCAGGCUUUUCUGCCCACAGGAUUCUCCAAACCAGAAUACUGGAGUAAGUUGCAAGAGAGGUGAGAGGAAGACAAUUAAGUUGUUAUUAUCAAAUACUGGAGAAGGGCAUGGUGACCUACUCCAGCAUUCUUCCCUGGAGAAUCCCAUGGACAGAGGCGCCUGGCAGGCUGUAGUCCAGAGGGUUGUACAGAAUCAGACAUAACUGAAGCGACUGAGCACACGUUACCAAAUAUUGUUCUGCUGUGUUGCUGAAGCUUAUGAAGACGGCCCUGGAGCUUUUUCAGAGUUGUUUUACUUUAUGAAUAACUGUUUAAUUGUCCACUUGUUGGAGAACAGAUGCUGGGAUCUCCUA